AAACAAAAAGCUAAAUAGCAUACAAUUUCGACUUGUACAUUGAUUCACAAAUCUUUGUUUA
rnacentral:tRNA from 1 species